GAUCGUGGCUGGUCAUUCAGCAAUGUAACCCAAAUCACAGGGGAAGACCUUGAAAUAUCUGGAGAGACUGAUCUGCUCUGAAUACUCUCAAUCCAAAGAAGUGCCAGGGAGCUGCAUCUGCUUGCUGAAAUUUUUGUCAGCUUUUUUUCACUGUGGACAAUAAAGCUGGAGAGAAAAGAACCAAAUAACCCAACAGGAAAUGAAGAUGGGCUCAAGAGUUGAUUUGUGGUCAUCUGAAGCCCACAUAUCCAAGGCUUGCUGGACCUAUCAGACUUUUCGACUUGUCAGAUUAACAACAACCAUCAGAAGACCUAGAAGAGUACAGUGUUGCUGUGACUCUGGUGUAUAAUGCAGACCAUCUACCAGUUGGGGAAGGAAUCAUUUGUAACAGGAACAAAAGGAGUCAUUCCUUAUUUUAACUGUUGCGGUGAAGAUGGGUUUUUGGACUUUUAGAAGCCAGGAGACACCACCUGAACUACAAGACAAGCCAAGGACUGAUGCACACUGGAGAAGAGAAUGCUUAGUACUUGAAGAUUGAAUACUGAAUACCUGCUGAAUGCUUCUAUUGAGAUUUUUCUUAAACAUCAGUAACAUUUUAGGACUGAUUCAUUGGAGAUACACUGAUCUCUGGGUGGAGUAUCCUACCAUUGGCCAAUCUGAAGAGUUAAUUCUGGAUUUGACGCUCUUCUCUACGAGGAAUAUUGUUAGGCUAGCUUUUAAUGAGCCCCUAAACAACUGUAAUCAUUAAUUGACCCAAUAGUUCUUCAAGUAUCAGAUUAAAAGAUGAACAGAUAUAAUUCUUACCUAGAUAAAACUUUUAUCCAUAUUAAAGACAAAAGUUUUCUAAUAUUUAACUGAAAAUGUAACAUGUUUUCUUUUAGUUUGUUAAUGACAGUGGUUUCCAUUUUAAAGCUGUUUGGAUAUUCAAUAUAGUACAAGUUUCCCCUGCUAUCUGAAAAUAGAGCAUUCCAGUGAAAUUUUUUGUAAGCUAAAAUGCUGUAAAGUGAAGAAAUAAUUACCUUAGGAUACCUCUUGCCAAUAAAUCAAGGUAACGCACAGAUGCUCACAGACACUGUUCCAAGCUGUGGGCCCCUUGAGGCUGAGGGUAUUUCCCAGGGAAGGAACUUGGCAGUGCCACUCACUACUCAGGGCACAUGCUACCUCUGUAAUGACUUGCUAUAAAACACUGAACACUAUGUUCGUUUUUUACUUUCUUUCUUAAAAUCAAGUAUCCUUUGGAUUUCCAGUUAGUGAAACAGGUAAUAAUGUAGGUCUUUUGUAUAAAGUGAAGUGGGAUAAGGUGAAAUUUUGACAAGUAGGAGAUAUCUAUAAUUAAAUAAUUCAGUAUAAUGUAUAAGAAAGCUAUGGGAAAAGAAAGUCCAAGAGUUUAAGAGUUGUGAAAACAUUCUUACGUGUGUGCGUGUGUGUGUAUAUAAUACAUAUAUGUAUAAGUUAUUCUUAUGUGCAGUACUUGGAACCAAUUGCUCAUUGGGAUAAAGUCAUUGUUAUUUAGCUAAUCCAUAGUUUUAAUUUGUUUUAAAAUACUCUUGUAUCUUAACAUUGGAACUAAGUUGUAGGAUAUGGUUAGAUUUUUAAAUUUUAAUUCAGGUUGAUUUGACAAUCUCUUUGUGCUUGUGUUGUUAAUCCUAUUUAAUAAUAUGCAUCAAAUAGGUAAUAUCCCUGUGGUAAAGUACAUUUUCAGAAAAUUUCAUUAUCUUUCAUUUUUGGCCUUUGCUUUACUUGGUCAGGCAACAAAGAUCUAUUUUGCAUCUACCCUGUUAGGCACUAUGGAGAGAUAGAGAAGUUCGAUACUCACAUCUUUGUUCUCGAGGCUUGUCACACUAUAUUUUCUAAAUAAACAAAGAUGACUUUCUGCCCUUAAAUGAAAAACCUCCUAGUUAACAAGUGGGAGAAUAUUUACCAAGAAAUGAUCUGUAAUUGUUUGGUAUUAUCUUUGAAAAAACCAAGGCAUAAAUGCUUGAGAAGUAAAUUACAGAAGUAUUUUUCCCACAAAGCACGUUGGAGAUAGUCUGGCAAAUGUUGAAGUACAAGAAAAGAAGCAUCUUCUGAUUGACAAAAACGUGGUUUGUGCAAAAGGAAGUGAGCAAUCAGAGUGGGCUAAAAUGAGCUGUAAAUUAGGUUGGCUUUAAGAGAAGGGGUUGGACCUAGGGGCAUUGAAACCUUAAAGAAGGACUGUAGGUGAGAGAUGUUGAUGAGAUUUUCAGGAUAUUGAGAGACAGGCAUAUUUUCUCUACCUUUAGCCACAGAUAAAGCUUGUAGUUAAUAGAGAGUCGUAUUUUCUCUGAUUGCCUUUAGCUGUGGAUAGAACAUGCAGCCAUUAUUUAUCUGAAGCAGACUUGUACUCAAACCUGCCCUUAUGUGGAAACCCUAAGGUCUAAUUUGUGGGAAAGGUGUGUUUAUAAGGGGGAAGCUUGAAGAAAAUCCCAAAAAACCUCACUUGUUUACAUUUUUGAAUCAGUGAUAAAACCUAGUCUUUUUAAUAUAACUGAGAGAAGUAAAGAAUUUUUAAAGAUCUAAGGUUUCUGUGUAGAAAUCUUAUCAGAUGUGUGUUCAGUGGAA